UGCCUAAUACAUGCAAGUCGAGCGGACAGAAGGGAGCUUGCUCCCGGAUGUUAGCGGCGGACGGGUGAGUAACACGUGGGUAACCUGCCUGUAAGACUGGGAUAACUCCGGGAAACCGGAGCUAAUACCGGAUAGUUCCUUGAACCGCAUGGUUCAAGGAUGAAAGACGGUUUCGGCUGUCACUUACAGAUGGACCCGCGGCGCAUUAGCUAGUUGGUGAGGUAACGGCUCACCAAGGCGACGAUGCGUAGCCGACCUGAGAGGGUGAUCGGCCACACUGGGACUGAGACACGGCCCAGACUCCUACGGGAGGCAGCAGUAGGGAAUCUUCCGCAAUGGACGAAAGUCUGACGGAGCAACGCCGCGUGAGUGAUGAAGGUUUUCGGAUCGUAAAGCUCUGUUGUUAGGGAAGAACAAGUGCAAGAGUAACUGCUUGCACCUUGACGGUACCUAACCAGAAAGCCACGGCUAACUACGUGCCAGCAGCCGCGGUAAUACGUAGGUGGCAAGCGUUGUCCGGAAUUAUUGGGCGUAAAGGGCUCGCAGGCGGUUUCUUAAGUCUGAUGUGAAAGCCCCCGGCUCAACCGGGGAGGGUCAUUGGAAACUGGGAAACUUGAGUGCAGAAGAGGAGAGUGGAAUUCCACGUGUAGCGGUGAAAUGCGUAGAGAUGUGGAGGAACACCAGUGGCGAAGGCGACUCUCUGGUCUGUAACUGACGCUGAGGAGCGAAAGCGUGGGGAGCGAACAGGAUUAGAUACCCUGGUAGUCCACGCCGUAAACGAUGAGUGCUAAGUGUUAGGGGGUUUCCGCCCCUUAGUGCUGCAGCUAACGCAUUAAGCACUCCGCCUGGGGAGUACGGUCGCAAGACUGAAACUCAAAGGAAUUGACGGGGGCCCGCACAAGCGGUGGAGCAUGUGGUUUAAUUCGAAGCAACGCGAAGAACCUUACCAGGUCUUGACAUCCUCUGACAACCCUAGAGAUAGGGCUUUCCCUUCGGGGACAGAGUGACAGGUGGUGCAUGGUUGUCGUCAGCUCGUGUCGUGAGAUGUUGGGUUAAG
rnacentral:rRNA from 1 species